rnacentral:rRNA from 1 species
GACGAACGCUGGCGGCGUGCUUAACACAUGCAAGUCGAACGGAAAGGCCCUGCUUGCCGGGUACUCGAGUGGCGAACGGGUGAGUAACACGUGGGUGAUCUGCCCUGCACUUCGGGAUAAGCCUGGGAAACUGGGUCUAAUACCGGAUAGGAGCCAUUUUUAGUGUGAUGGUUGGAAAGUUUUUUCGGUGUAGGAUGAGCUCGCGGCCUAUCAGCUUGUUGGUGGGGUAAUGGCCUACCAAGGCGGCGACGGGUAGCCGGCCUGAGAGGGUGGACGGCCACAUUGGGACUGAGAUACGGCCCAGACGCCGACGGGAGGCAGCAGGGGGGAAUAUUGCACAAUGGGCGCAAGCCUGAUGCAGCGACGCCGCGUGGGGGAGGACGGCCUUCGGGUUGUAAACUCCUUUCGCUAGGGACGAAGCUUUUUGUGACGGUACCUAGAGAAGAAGCACCGGCUAACUACGUG